GUGAGUAGUUCAGAGUUUGAUCCUGGCUCAGGAUGAACGCUGGCGGCGUGCCUAACACAUGCAAGUCGAGCGAACCCUUCGGGGUGAGCGGCGGACGGGUGAGUAACGCGUGGGUAACCUGCCCUAUACACACGGAUAACGUACCGAAAGGUACGCUAAUACGAGAUAACAUAUUUUUAUCGCAUGGUAGAAAUAUCAAAGCUCCGGCGGUAUAGGAUGGACCCGCGUCUGAUUAGCUAGUUGGUAAGGUAAUGGCUUACCAAGGCAACGAUCAGUAGCCGACCUGAGAGGGUGAUCGGCCACAUUGGAACUGAGACACGGUCCAA
rnacentral:rRNA from 1 species